UUACCAUAAUCCGAUCAAUAGUUAUUGAUCGAUUAGCACACACAUAAUGUUGUCUGUCCGAGAUUACGUUCUAUAUACAUAGGUGAUCAUUAAAAUUGUAUAGGAUGAUCGUCAAGUUGAAUAACAUGCUGUAUUUGUAAACUCAACGAUGUAGAACGGACCCAAACAGCACUUUAUUUAUAAAAAUUGUGACAGUAUUUCUCAUUGAUAACUAAACCAAGUGGGUGUCGACGAUUGAAUCACCCCGAAAGGCACACAACAACAGACAACAAUAAGAGAGGAUGUGUAUUUCCUAUUCAUAUUCCGUUUAUAGUGGAAAUAAAAAAAUAUUAGUACUUUCAUAAAUGGAUAACUAUUUUGACUUUUCCUUCGCUGAAACAUGCAAAAUUAAAUUAAUUGAUGGCCGUUCGUCGAUCCUUUGUGAUUUACCUGGGACAGGUGUUAAUCACUGUGUUGAUAUUACUUCGAGGUGUAUCGGGAGACUGCUCUAACUGCAAGCCAGAUCAAUGUGAUAGCAGUCAAACAUGUGGUGAAUGUGAUGAUGGUUGGUGGGGUAACCCAUGCUUUAAAAGAUGUGGUUCUCAAUGUCCAACGAUACAAACAUCCACGGGAAUAUUUAGUAAAGUUUGUGAUAAAGACACUGGUAAAUGUAAAGGUGGUUGUAGAAACGAUGUCUACGGGGAAUACUGCAAUAAACAAUGUAGCAGCCACUGUCUACAGCUUACAGGGAGAAUAUGUGACCUUGUCAGCGGGAAAUGUUUACAUAGUUGUACUCAAGGUUACUAUGGAGAAGAUUGCACAUCGUCGUGCAGCAAAGGCUGUUAUCCUAUACUAGUGAGAGGUGCUGGUUUCGUUAACAAAUGUAGCCCACUAACCGGAAUUUGUGAAAGUGACAAGGACUGUAAACCAGGCUGGUGUGGAACAAAAUGCGACUUAUCAUGCGGAACUAACUGUAAAACUACACAUAACGAUUUUUUUCGGGAAGAUGUAAAGCAAUGUUCUUGCACAACAGGAAGUUGCACAGAUGGGUGCGAGUCCGGUUGGUACGGUGAGAAUUGUGAAUGUACAGCAGCUAAUUUGAAAUGUGAUGAAUUUGGAUGCAAUAAAACCACAAGACUGUGCAACUCAUGUCUAACUGGGUACCAUGGGGAUAUGUGUGAUCAGACUUGUCCUCAAAGCUGCGGACCAGAAGGGUGUCACAGAAACAACGGAACAUGCAUAAACUGUAAAAAUGAUUUGUAUGGACCUCAAUGCCUAUGUAAAGGUCAUUGCGGCCUUGCUGGUUGCGAUAGUCAAGGAGACUGUCGUUCAUGUGCGUCAGGUUGGCAUGGAAGUCGCUGUUUAGACGCAUGUAUUGGAAACUGUAAAGAAAACUGCGACAGAAAUAAUGGGAAAUGUUUGUCAUGUCGUGACGGAUUCUAUGGAGAACAAUGCGGAGCGCGUUGUCCAUUAAACUGCCACGAAACCCUUUGUGAACAAGAUACGGGGCACUGUUUUCAGUGUGUGAUGGGAUUCUAUUCAGAAAAUUGCUCUUUAACGUGUCCAGUGGGAUGUGACAGCUCGGGAUGUAAAAAAAUAACAGGUGCUUGUGAUACCUGUAAACGUGGUUUUACUGGAAAUCAAUGCAAAUGUCAUGGGUAUUGUUCGGGAGAAGGAUGUAUAAGCACUACCGGCUUAUGUAAAAACUGUCAGUCUGGAUAUUACGAAACUUCUUGUGACAAAUCAUGUCCUAAAAAUUGUAAAGAUAAUGAAUGUGAAAGACAAUAUGGAAAGUGCUAUUCGUGUAAAGAUGGUUAUUACGGAUCUGUCUGUAUUUGCUCAGGUAAUUGCAAAAACGACCAAUGCAAUGAGCGCGGAGUAUGCGCUGAGUGUUCCAGUGGUUGGUAUGGUGAAUUCUGUACCAUCAAAUGUUCCGUCAACUGUGAUGGUGGAUGCGACAGAAUCAGUGGAUUUUGUGAACGAUGUAAACCUAGCUGGUAUGGUCCACAGUGUAAAUGUAAAGGACACUGUGCUCAGAAUAGCGAGAAUAGCUGUGGCACAGAUGGAAUAUGUUCAGCUUGUUCUCCUGGAUGGUACGGACAAAACUGUCUCCAAAACUGUUCAUCAAAUUGUUUGAGAGAAGACUGCGAACGAUAUACAGGAACUUGUAGCAGUUGCCAGGCCGGAUUCUUUGAUAAUGACUGUCAUAGUAUUUGUCCUGACAACUGUUUCAGUUCCGAAUGCUUAAAGAGUGAUGGAAAAUGCAAGUAUGGAUGCAAGUCUAGGGGAUUCGGAGAUUUUUGUAAUUCAACGUGCCCGCAUCAUUGUGAUGAACAGGGAUGCUUAAAUGGUGAUUGUUACGGUUGUGAGUAUGGAUGGUAUGGUUUGCAGUGUCAAUGCAGAGGUCAUUGUUCUACACUGGGACAGUGUAACAAAGAUGGAAGGUGUGAUCUGUGUAAAUUCGGAUAUUUUGGAGAAAACUGCAACCAGACAUGUCCUCAAAAUUGUAAAGGAAGUUGUCAUAGAGAUAAAGGUUCAUGUGAUCAAUGCAUUCUUGGUUACCAUGGAGAAUUUUGUAAUGAGCCAUGUCCUUCAAAUUGUAACAACGAUAUUUGUAAUAAAGCCGACGGUACUUGUUCUAAUUGUGACGCAGGAUGGUAUGGGUCCAAAUGCAAAUGUACUGGACAAUGUGGACCUGGGGAGUGUCAUUCAAAUGGAACUUGCUUUACGUGUGCUGUUGGCUAUCAUGGACUAUCAUGCAAUGACUUGUGUUUGUCAACUUGUACAAGGAAGGGCUGCCUACGUGAAAAUGGAAAUUGUCUAGAAUGUCAAGUGAAAACGUCUGGAUCGUUCUGUAAUUGUAGUGGAUAUUGUUUAAAUGGUGAAUGUAAUGCUGCAGGUAUAUGCAAGAAAUGUAAUGCAUCAUGGCAUGGAAACAAUUGCGACCAGUCUUGCCCGAAAAACUGUGCGACUAAAAAUUGUGAUCGCUCAACAGGUGCGUGUUCUGACGGAUGCAUAAACGGCUUUUUUGGACAAAAAUGCACGUGCUUAGGUAACUGUAAAAGUGGAUGUGAUGAUACAGGAAAGUGUUUUGAAUGUGAAGAUGGAUGGCAGGGUACUCAGUGUACCCAAAAAUGUCCAGUCAAUUGUAUAUCAGCAUGCACGAGAAACAAUGGACAUUGUCUCCAAUGUAAAACUGAUUGGUAUGGCAAUGAGUGUACAUGCACUGGACAUUGUGAUUCUAGUGAAUGUGACGAAAACGGAAUUUGUUUUUCAUGUGCGGAUGGUUGGUCAGGGGAAAAUUGUACACUGUCUUGUCCAAAAAAUUGUAAAGGCAAUAUUUGCCUACGUAGUGGAAAUUGUGUCAGUUGUAAAAGUGGGUGGUAUGGAAGUACGUGCCAAUGUUCUGGUCAAUGUUCAGAUAGAGGUUGCAACGUGACCUCUGGGAUUUGUCAUGAAUGUGAAAUAGGUUUCCAUGGAAGAACAUGUCUUGAUGCAUGUCCCCCAAACUGUGACAACUCGGAAUGCACACGUAACGGUCAAUGUUUGUCUUGUAUAGCAGAUUGGUAUGGUGAUAAAUGUUAUUGUUCGGGAAACUGUGGUAUAUCGGGUUGCAACAUAGAAACACACCAGUGUUACAACUGUGAAAAGGGUUGGCACGGUCCAAAAUGUCUGCAAACAUGUCCGUUUAAUUGUGAUGACACGGGAUGCAAUAGAAAUUCAGGUGACUGUUUAACCUGCGUUCCAAACCGUUCCGGUGAUAAAUGCCACUGUAUUGGAUAUUGCGAUGAUUCUCAUCCGAACAUGUGCACUAACACUGGAGAUUGCUACAACUGCAGCAAAACAUACUUCGGGGUUAACUGCGAUCAAAUGUGUUCAAAAUACUGUGACGGAUGUGAUAGGAAGUCCGGAUCGUGCACUUCAUGUAAGCAAGGUCUUUAUGGUCAAACAUGUCAACUGACAUGCAGUACUGAUUGUAUCGAACUACGCUGUGGUAAAGACGAUGGAAAGUGUCUACGGUGUGGUCCAGGUCAAUAUGGUGAUUUCUGUGAGAAAAAUUGUAGUUCUAAUUGCAUUAGUGGAUAUUGUUCUUUAAAUGGUACAUGUCCACUGGGGUGUAAAUCUGGGUGGAAAGGCUUGUCAUGUAUAGAACCUACUGGCAUAAGUUUGGUAUUGAUUGUAGUCAUGUCAGUUUGUGGACUUGUUAUAUUCUUGCUGGUGUUUGUUUUCAUCUCAUGUGCCUGCAGAAGGAAAGAAAUGACACAAGCAACUUGUAUAAGUACAACUAAGAUAUUAUAUAUAUCGCGUAGUGUACAGUGUUAUAUCAGUAAAAGUAUAGAAGAGACCCAGGGGAUGGAAAGGGAAAAUACACAGCAACAACACAUUUAAGGAGAUGGGGGACUGUAGUUCGUACUCAUACACCAAACAUCCACCAUCCUGCUAAUAGAGAGGCUAAUAACGGACAUAUAACAGAUAGGUAUAUGGAUGCUGAAAUGUAGAAUUAGAGAUUAUUAAUCAGCCUACAACUUCCGCUUUUAACGUGCAAUACAAAACUAAAAAAUCCAUUAUGUUCACAAAAAUACUCGUGCCAAAGUCAUGACUAGUCACAAAAUACAGUGCUUCAACAUGUGUUCACAAGCUUAUAAAGCUGCUGCAGAACAUUGUAUUUAACAUUAUGUAUAAGUCUUUGUAAAUGAACUGUCUUUCACAAAAUUUCAUUGGUGUUAAGACCGAAUGGAUGAAACCUGAGACUAGUGAGUAGUCUUAGGUUAAAAACAAGUUUCUGUUGGAAUGAAAAAUCUUUGUUAUCUACUAUCAACCGUCAAAGACGUUAUCAUUAGAA